UACGUAGGGACCGAGCGUUGUCCGGAUUCAUUGGGCGUAAAGGACGCUGCGUGAGCGGCCACUCAAGUCGAAUGUGAAACCUCGAGGCUUAACCUCGAGCCUGCAUUCGAUACUGGGCGGCUAGAGUCUGGUAGGGGGAUCUGGAAUUCCUGGUGUAGCGGUGGAAUGCGCAGAUAUCAGGAGGAACACCGGUGGCGAAGGCGGGAUCCUGGGCCAGUACUGACGCUGAGGAGCGAAAGCGUGGGGAGCAA
rnacentral:rRNA from 1 species